CUCCUCCACAACAAAGGCAGGAAGCUCAGCUGCUCAACCACCAAAACAAACCUGAUUUCUGUCUUUCUUUCAUUAAAACAACUCUUGCUUAUCUGGGAGGAGAUGUGGGAAAAGGAAAGAAAACAAAAUGAAACAAAACAACAACAAAGAAUAGUUUCUGUAAAUUCUUAGAUUUGACCAAUAUAUCCAUUCAACAAAUAUUUACUAGGCACCUUCUAUGUGCUAGCCACUGCACUAAUGAUGGGCUGAAGGCAGUCCCUGGAUCUCAGGUGCUCAGAAAUUAGUAAGAAAGACAGACAAGUUUUUUAAAAAAGUCACAAGCUUGUCAUACCCGGCUUGAAAAGAGGUAUUAAUGAGGCCUCUGGAAGAACAGUGGAGGAAGCACUUAAGUCAGCCUGGGGAAGUCAGAGAAGACUUUCUGAUGGAUGUGAUGUUAGCUAGGCUUUGAAGGAGUAAGAGCUUGGGUGGAAGGUUAUAUCUUGCAGAAAGAUGUUACUAUACAAAGGGAAAAUACCAAGAUUCCAGAAGAAAAGGAUAGUUUGUGGAACCCACAAGCGGUGAGAGUGAAGGGUUAGGGGAGACGAGGCUGGAAAGAGAGGGAGGGCCAGAGCAGGAGGGAUUUGGAUAUACUUUCCCCCAUUAACCAAUAGGGAGGCGAGAAUUUUAAGAAAGGACUGACAAUGAUAGAACUGCCUUUAAGAAACUUCAUCCUCACAGAAAAUGACCUGAAAGGGGAGGAAGACAAAGGCAGGAAGACCACUUAGGAAGCUGCUACAAACAGAAAAUAAAAGGCAGUGGCAUUGAGAAGAGAGAGGAGACACUGGUUUGAGAUAUACUGCAGAACCAGCAGAGAAGGCCAAAACUUAGCAGCCAACUGCAUGUGUGGGAGGAGGAGCCAAGACUUCAAAAUGACUUCUAGAUUUCUGAGGCUAAAUGAUCCCAGCUGACAUAGGCCGAAAUGGGGAAAAAAGGAGACGCAGUGGGGCUGUGGCUGAAGCAGAGACAGAGAGAGGGGUUUGUGUUUGCAUGCAUUACUGAGGCACCUGUAGGGUAUCCCGGUGGACAUGUCUAGCAGACAGCUUCAAAGACGUGUGAAACUCAGAAGAGAGGUCGGGUCAGAACAAAGAAACAGUCUGGGAGUCAUCAGAAUAUAAUUCAUGGGGCUCAGCACAGUGACUCAUGUAUGUAAUCCCAGCACUCUGGGAGGCCAAGGCAGGAGGAUCGCUUGAGUUCCAGACCAGCCUGGGCAAUAAAGACAGACCCUGUCUCUACAUAAAAUUUAAAAAAUUAGCUGGGUAUGGUGGCAUGCACCUGUAGUCUCAGCUACUUGGGAGGCAGAGAUGGGAGGAUUGCUUGAGCCCAGGGGGUUGAGGCUGCAGUGAGCUGUGAUCGUGGCACUGCACUCUAGCCUGGGUGACGGAGUGAGACCAUGUCUCAAAAAAUUUUUUAAAUAAAAAACAAAGAAAAUAAGUCAUCGGUGCAGAUGAGAUUGCCACAGCAAGUGACAGGAUAAAAGUGACACCUCUGCCUGCCUGCCUCCAAAUUAACAAGGAAGAGGGACAGAGCUCAGUGCUAUCAACUUGAUUACUGCCAUAUGCCACCCCGUCAGCCAGACCUCAGAACAGACUGAAGUUCCACCCAUCUCACACAUAGUCAAAGAAUGCAAUGAAGGAGAAAACCACACGACCGCAGCUUCAGCAAACUCACUCACUAGCCUCGCUCUGGUGCCCCAAGCUCAGUUUACAAUGACUGACACAGGUGUAUGACACAAAUACUUCACAACAUGCUUCUUUCGGGGAACCAGGAAGAUAAAAUAGGAGGAAUAUAAGAGUUUAAGAAAAGUCACUCUGUGCCUCCAAAUAGACUUCCAAAUAGUACAUCUUCACUCCCUGUCAAUGUGUGUAUUUCAGGAACACAAACUCCCUUUUACAUCGAAUAGAACUACAAAGGUUAUUCUAAUGCCUUGUUCUUGAUCAAGAAAUACAUCCCAAAGCCAAAUAAUAAGAAACAUAUUGUCUAAGAAAAGUCACUCUGUGCCUCCAAAUAGACUUCCAAAUAGUACAUCUUUACUCCCUGUCCAUGUGUGUAUUUCAGGAACACAAACUCCCUUUUACAUCGAAUAGAACUACAAAGGUUAUUCUAAUGCCUUGUUCUUGAUCAAGAAAUACAUCCCAAAGCCAAAUAAUAAGAAACAUGUUGUCUAAGAAAAGUCACUCUGUGCCUCCAAAUAGACUUCCAAAUAGUACAUCUUUACUCCCUGUCCAUGUGUGUAUUUCAGGAACACAAACUCCCUUUUACAUCAAAUAGAACUACAAAGGUUAUUCUAAUGCCUUGUUCUUGAUCAAGAAAUACAUCCCAAAGCCAAAUAAUCAGAAACAUAUUGUCCAUCAUUCUGUGUUAUUCUACUUCCAUGUCCUCACGUAACCAUGGAUAAUUGAGCGUGAACAAUAUACUUCAGCACAAAGCUGGGACUGGCUCCAUCUACAACACCAACUGAGACUGGCCCAUGUGGCCAAAGUAAGAAAUUUAAGGCAAAGGGUUGAAACAUGCACUCCUUAUCAGUAGACAGGGCGAUCUUCUUCAGGUAAAACAGGUACAGGAGGAAGAGCAGCAAGCCAGUGGGUGAUAACUCAAUUUGUGAAAUGGAAACAUUUUACUACAACUACCAUAAUUUUAUAAAGGAACCCUCUAUAAGGGUCAUGCAUGAUCCCCUGGCAUGCCCAACAUUCUCACCAAGUGAUGUUAUUUUCCUUGCUUGGUAGCUGAGAAAGCCGAGGCCCAGAGAGUGGCUAAAUUCCCCCAGUCUCAUGGUCAACUCAGUGCAGGGUGGCCAAGGGCCCGGGAAGAGUUACUAGUGGAAGCAACAAAAGGUUCUGAGAAAAUUCAGCAGGGAUGAUGGAUGUCUCAGGAGUAAGGAGAUAGACAAGAAAUCAGGUGGGGCAGGAACAGCAAGCAGUUUCUUCAACUCCCUUUCAUUUAGACCAGAGGAAGGCCUUGACACGGUUCCUAGAACAGCUAAUUUCACACUGUCUGGGGCAGAAGACAUUCUGGGUUAUCUUUCACAUACUGGUAAGGUACCACCAUCUGGGAGUGAUGGUAUAGACACAGACUAAACAUGCCUGCCAACACUAAUUAUUAUUAUGGAGCCAAAGAAUCAAUGCAAUAACUUUAAAACUGCUACUAAAAAAUACCUUGCUCAAUAGGCAAGGAUUUCUCGACUAUUUACUAUGCGUAGCAUAAUAUGCUUUGGACUCAUCCUGUUUAUCCUGGGGUUCUUUGCUAGAGAUGAUUUUACCCUCCAGAGGAUAUACAGCAAUAUCUGAAGACAUUUUUGUGGUCGCAAGUGGGGGAUGCUACUGUUGUCUGGUCAGUAGAGGCUGGGAAUGCUGCUAAACAUCCCAUGACAACAUGCCAAACGAUGCCAGACAUCACAGUGCUGCUACUGAGGAACCUUGCCAUCUACCCCACCAUUGAACCCAGAAGCAGGAAAGCAGAAGGCAUGGAACUCACUCUUCGGCCCCUUUUCUGGUACACUAAGACCUUUCAUAUUCUGGCUUUAAAAUAACAACAAAGAGCUUCCUGUAAGAUCAGCCAGUCUUCAACCUGAUUUCAUGUUCUUAAAUACCAGAGGCAAAAUGCUUGAGGCUGAGCAGUGAACCCAAGAGCCAGGCCACAAGGCCUCCUUUUCCCAGGGUUUCUCCUACCUGUGUCUCCGUGUUUCCUGCCUCUGUGAAAAAAAGACGGCAAAUUCUUUGCUAAACUCUCAGGAUAAGAGAGUUUAACAAAGAUUCCCCAAGGAAGUCUCUAAAAACAGAGUUAUGUAUGCAGUGUGUGGUAUCGGUAUGGAUUCUCUACCAGAGGUGUGUAGCUCACAGGGUAUUUACUGUGAUUCUACUCCUAACCUAACGACAAAAACAACUUAUUUUAAAAGUACCCAAGCAUUUUAAUAAUACACAAGAGUCUAAAUAAGG
rnacentral:lncRNA from 1 species